AGAGAGAACUAACAACGUGAGAAAAGCUAUGUCCAUUGUGCCUCAAAUGGUGCAAAGGCUACUGGACGCUUGUGUGCAUGUUAGCAAAUUAUUUAUGUGCUGAAAGCCCCUGUAAGAAAAAAAAAGAGGACCAUAUGGCAGACGUUACCAUGAUAUCAAUGCAUAAUUCUUGUAUUCCCUAAAGUAACAUAGUCCAUGUAAAAGAGUACCAGCAUUUGAAAGGCUCGGUCAAAACGUUGGAUGGAAAAGGACACACAAAAGAGAAUGCCAAUUUGAAUGAAGAAAUUGCAGUAAUUAAAAAAUGGACUGAAUAUCGCAAAGAAAAGAAACUUUGCGGCAUAGAUCCAAUUGAAGCGAUGAAGGAAACGUCAAUUUUGGUAUGUGUCCCAUUUAUACUACUAUUAGGAAGAUAUAGAUCCAAGGUUGGGACGGCAAGCAUCCAAGAAAGUCAAGAAGCAAUGUGGUCCUGAAGUGAAAGCCAAGGAACUUGGCGUGGCCAUACUAGUCUUAACAGAUUCGAUUUGCACGCACUUUUGCUACGCAGAGAGAGAACAAAAGCCGCAGGUGAGAAACUUUGGAAAACAGAGCAGAUGACAAACCUUUGCUAUGCAGAGAGAGAAAAACGGCCGCAGGUGACAAAUAUUUAGCAAACUAUUUAUGUGUUGGAAACCCCCUGUUAGAAAAAAAACCCAUAGAGCAGUUGUUAUCAUGAUAGCAAUGCAUAAUCCCUGUAUUCUCUAGAGUAGCAUAGCCCAUGUAAAAGAGAACCAACAUUCGAAGCCUCAGCCCAAACGUUGAAAGGAGAACAACAACAAAGAAGCGAAUAUCAGUUUGAACGAAGCAACUACAGUAGUUGAAAACCCGAUGGGUUGAAUACCGCGAGGAGAAGCGGCUUGACAGAACGAUGACAGAUGAUUCGACUAAACACACUUAGUAAAAGUACACUAACUCUAGUAAGCAACACAACAAAAAAAUCGCAUGUGGCCGAUUUAUGAUACUAUUAUUAGGAAGAUAUAGUUCCCAGUUUGGGCCGGGCCAACAAGCAUCCAAGAAAGUGAAGAAGCAAUGUGGUCCUUGAGUUAAAGCCGAAACAUGUGGCGUGGCCAUACUAGUCUCAACAGAUUCCAGUUUCUAGCACGUAAAUGUGCAGGAGCAGGCGCCCAACUUUGGAUUAUGCCCUUGUCUCAAUCAGACAGCAAACAAGCAGAACAGAGCAGAGCAUGCAAGAUAGUACUACAACUUCAUAUAUACCAUGCUUAAUUAAGACCGGCCGGGUGCUUCCUGCAGCCAAACAAAUGACGGUAAACAAAGAGCUGACGGACAGUAAACGGACUGAAACCUCCGAGAAGUGGAACGAGGCCAGCCGGACCGACACCCUGCGCACAAUCCAUCGAACACCUCGAGGGCGCCGCGAGAUCACACCCAGCUGCAUGCAGCCGCAGCCAGAGCCGCCGUUACCGGGGAGGAUCGAUCGACCCACAACCAGUACCAUCGGAUGAAACCCCAAGAAAGGGCGGGGAUGGGCGGCGUGGCGAGCAUAUUGGCAGCACCGCGGCAGGGAAGUAGGGAUGUACGUAGGGGGUGGCCGGGAAUUCGAGACUUCGAGAGCAAGCACAGCGAGAGAUUUCGACUUACGACGCGGAGAGGAAAUGUCGGCCUCUCGACGUCGGACGCUGGCUGCUGCUGCUGCGGCGGCGGCGCCGCUCGACGACGAGGAGGAGGAGGACUCGGAG
rnacentral:lncRNA from 1 species